rnacentral:tRNA from 2 species
AAGACUGUAGCAUAAUAGGUAAUGCAAUUCGCUCAUAACGGAUCCGAUAAGGGUUCAAUUCCCUUCGGUCUUA